CGAAACCAGGUGAUCUACCCUUGGUCAGGUUGAAGUUCAGGUAACACUGAAUGGAGGACCGAACCGACUUACGUUGAAAAGUGAGCGGAUGAACUGAGGGUAGCGGAGAAAUUCCAAUCGAACUUGGAGAUAGCUGGUUCUCUCCGAAAUAGCUUUAGGGCUAGCCUCAAGUGAUGAUUAUUGGAGGUAGAGCACUGUUUGGACGAGGGGCCCCUCUCGGGUUACCGAAUUCAGACAAACUCCGAAUGCCAAAUAAUUUAACUUGGGAGUCAGAAUGUGGGUGAUAAGGUCCAUAUUCGAAAGGGAAACAGCCCAGACCACCAGCUAAGGUCCCAAAAUAUAUGUUAAGUGGAAAAGGAUGUGGCGUUGCCCAGACAACUAGGAUGUUGGCUUAGAAGCAGCCAUCAUUUAAAGAGUGCGUAAUAGCUCACUAGUCGAGUGACACUGCGCCGAAAAUGUACCGGGGCUAAACAUAU
rnacentral:rRNA from 1 species